AUCAUUUGUCAGUCGGCAG
rnacentral:misc_RNA from 1 species